UGCAAGCUGAGCUGUUCUCUUCACCCCCAACAGUGAAAACAUACGGGGAGCUCCAGCGAUCCCGGGACCAGGACCCCGGGUUCACCGCUUUCCGUCUCCCCGUCGGCCUUCCGGCUCACCUCGCGGCGGCGGCGCCGGGCACACCGCACGAGGAAACCAAAAUCAGCGCCCCAGAGAAACGUGGGUUAAGGCAAGAGCCCGAGCGUCACACGGGGAGGUCGAGCUGCCGCGCCCGCUUCGAGUCCUGACCAACCCAAGUCCUCAGGCGACCCGCGGAGGUCUAGCCGUGCUGUACCCCCCCACCUGCCUCCUGGCGUGCGACUGCGCCUGCGCCUUCGCCUUCGUGUGCGCGUGCGCCCAGGCUCCCGGAAACGCCACGGCCGUUCCCCUCCCCGCGGCGCCGGGGUCAGGGGUUGUUCAGAGGUCGGACAAGGUGCUAUGUAUGGAAAGUGGUGGUGACCUCGCCAAGUACACAACCAGGAUCAAGACCCAAACGUGACGGGGAAAAAAAGAUAAAAAUCAUCAAAACAGAAAUUAAUUCACUGGCUUUAAAUUAGCAUGCUUUUCAAAAAAAUAAAGUUUCAAAACAUUCCCCAUACUUAAAUCUGUCCUUUCCUUUGUGAUGCUUCCCCUGUUCUUAUGCUUACAAAGUCCUUUUCCCACAAAUUUUAGUUAUUUUUCCUUACACUUGUUUUAUGGUUACAUUUAUAAAACUAUACAUUUAAAAAGUGAGAAAGCACUUUUUUGUCUUGUUAGAAAUUAAUCAGUGUACAUUAUGCAAUCAUUUUUGGGAUAAUUCUUUCUUACCCCCAUAAUUGUUAAUACCACUUUCAUCAUAAGCUAAAUUCAUAUUUCCAUGUGAUAUUUUAUGCAUUGCAUUUUCUUGAGCAUCCUGCGUCAUUGGCCAUCAAGUCUUGUGUUGGUACAAGUACCAAAGGGAUAAACAAAUCAGGCAGAAAAUAUGAUUCGUGGUCCUCUUGUUUUGCCUUUUGAAACAGCAGGCCUCUCACCAUGCCCAAAGUUCCCUGCACACUAUGUACUAUCUCUGUGGCUUAAUUUAGUGAAUUUAAUUCAUCCCACUUCCUUUUCACACUGGCUCACCCCAAGUAUAGAAGAAAGUAGGGAGUGGUGUGGAGGGAGGCCAGCAAAUGACAGACCAAGUAUACACUUUGAUAAAGGAGAAAAUCCAAAACAAAGCACUUAGUUAUCUUGAGUGAAAAAAAAAAAAAAUCCCCAAAGGUUA
rnacentral:lncRNA from 1 species